UAGCUCUUUUUUCUGCAAGUU
rnacentral:piRNA from 1 species